UAUUCGAACUGUGUACUGAAAAUUUAUUGUUAGUGAAGUUAUGACAGUUGAACGGUCAAAUAUUUGUAGAAAACAUUAUCGAUUAUAUUACGAAGUCAGUUGAUAAAAAAAUGAACGUUAUUAAUAAAGAUUGGUUAAAUGGGAUGAAAAUUAAACACAGAAAGAAUGUAUCUGAUCUUAAAGUAGGAGUUCAGUACAAGGUUUUGAGUUUGUACGUGAUGAGAUCAAAAUAUUCUAAUGAAACACCAGUGGCUGAGGUGAAGCUUGACGACGAACCAACAUUUCAAAUUUAUUUGCCAGCGAGGUUUUCAUUUACUCGAGAAGAUCUGGCAAAAGGAGUCGAUAAAGAUCUUAAGAUUGUAUCUAAUGGACGAAAAGAUCAAAGUUCGAGUUAUGACAUAAUGUUUAUAUGAAUUAUAUUUCAUUUGUUUAAUCGACACCUUAGAGUUUUCUCUAUUUCAAUAUCAUAAUCAUCAUUAUGUGUUAUUUGUGUGAUACUUGUGGAAUGAAGUUCAAUUUUUUGAAAUCAUUGAUACGUCAUGAGCAAACAGUACACAACAAAAUUUUAUAUGGCUGCAGUUUGUGUUCGAAAAAAUUUUCGAGAAAAGAUAAUUUCUCAAGACAUGUUCAGCAUACACACGGGUUAAUAGGAACUGAUAAAGUAUUGAAAAUGCGUUCUGUAAAUAUAGAAAAUGAAAUAAAAUCGGUCUGUGUGAAAAAUGUGGUUAAUUACGGUGACAGCACCUCGAAAAAU